ACGAACGCUGGCGGCGUGGAUAAGACAUGCAAGUCGAACGGGAGAAUUGCUAGCUUGCUAAUAAUUCUCUAGUGGCGCACGGGUGAGUAACACGUGAGUAACCUGCCUCUUAGUGGGGGAUAGCCCUGGGAAACCGGGAUUAAUACCGCAUACGAUUGAAAGAUCAAAGCAGCAAUGCGCUAGGAGAUGGGCUCGCGGCCUAUUAGUUAGUUGGUGAGGUAACGGCUCACCAAGGCGAUGACGGGUAGCCGGUCUGAGAGGAUGUCCGGCCACACUGGAACUGAGACACGGUCCAGACACCUACGGGUGGCAGCAGUCGAGAAUCAUUCACAAUGGGGGCAACCCUGAUGGUGCGACGCCGCGUGGGGGAAUGAAGGUCUUCGGAUUGUAAACCCCUGUCAUGUGGGAGCAAAUUAAAAAGAUAGUACCACAAGAGGAAGAGACGGCUAACUCUGUGCCAGCAGCCGCGGUAAUACAGAGGUCUCAAGCGUUGUUCGGAAUCACUGGGCGUAAAGCGUGCGUAGGCUGUUUCGUAAGUCGUGUGUGAAAGGCAGGGGCUCAACCCCUGGAUUGCACAUGAUACUGCGAGACUAGAGUAAUGGAGGGGGAACCGGAAUUCUCGGUGUAGCAGUGAAAUGCGUAGAUAUCGAGAGGAACACUCGUGGCGAAGGCGGGUUCCUGGACAUUAACUGACGCUGAGGCACGAAGGCCAGGGGAGCGAAAGGGAUUAGAUACCCCUGUAGUCCUGGCAGUAAACGGUGCACGCUUGGUGUGCGGGGAAUCGACCCCCUGCGUGCCGGAGCUAACGCGUUAAGCGUGCCGCCUGGGGAGUACGGUCGCAAGAUUAAAACUCAAAGAAAUUGACGGGGACCCGCACAAGCGGUGGAGUAUGUGGCUUAAUUCGAUGCAACGCGAAGAACCUUACCUGGGCUUGACAUGUAAUGAACAACAUGUGAAAGCAUGCGACUCUUCGGAGGCGUUACACAGGUGCUGCAUGGCCGUCGUCAGCUCGUGUCGUGAGAUGUUUGGUUAAGUCCAGCAACGAGCGCAACCCCUGUUGCCAGUUACCAGCACGUCAAGGUGGGGACUCUGGCGAGACUGCCCAGAUCAACUGGGAGGAAGGUGGGGACGACGUCAGGUCAGUAUGGCCCUUAUGCCCAGGGCUGCACACGUACUACAAUGCCCAGUACAGAGGGGGCCGAAGCCGCGAGGCGGAGGAAAUCCUGAAAACUGGGCCCAGUUCGGACUGUAGGCUGCAACCCGCCUACACGAAGCCGGAAUCGCUAGUAAUGGCGCAUCAGCUACGGCGCCGUGAAUACGUUCCCGGGUCUUGUACACACCGCCCGUCACAUCAUGGAAGCCGGUCGCACCCGAAGUAUCUGAAGCCAACCGCAAGGAGGCAGGGUCCUGAGGUGAGACUGGUAACUGGGAUG
rnacentral:rRNA from 1 species